CUUCUCCACGGAUAUAUGGCAUCAACGAGAGGAACAGAAAGAAUACCCAAAUUGAUCAUACACAAGUGGAAGAGAGUGGGUAAAUUUAUGUUGCAGAUAUAAUAAAUAAAAAAUUGGAAUACUUCAAUUUAAUUUUGGGAGAAAUUCACGGAUUCGGAUCUUCAACUUCCAACAUAUCUGCAGCCAGCUCUGCUGCAAAAUACACAGCCAUACGAUCAAUCCAACGGAUCCUCUUCUUCUUCUUCUUCUUCUUCUUCUUCUUCUUCUUCUUCUUCUUCUUCUUCUUCUUCUUACUCUCUUUCAAUACCAAAUUACCAACAACACAAUUUCGUUUCACUUCAAACCACCAACAAUGUCAUUUUCACACUUGACCUGUAAUUUUCCAGUCACUCCCAAAUUUCAACAACUUCCAAACCCUAAUUUCAAUCGUUCAACAAACUCAACAAAAACAACAAGACUAUACUCUAAAUUUCAUCAUCAAGACCAACACACUGCUCUUGUUUCCUCAUUCAAUCAAUUGCUCCAUCAAAACAAUCCUAAACCACCGAUAAUCCAAUUUACAAAAAUCUUAACUUCCCUUGUCAAACUGAAACACUACUCAACUGUUAUUUCACUUCAUCAACAGAUGGAAUUAAACGGAAUUGAGUCAGGCUUAGUCACUUUCAACAUCUUAAGCAAUUGUUUUUCUCAAUUGGGUCAAAUCUCUCUUUCAUUUGCUGUAUUUGCCACUAUUCUCAAAAAGGGUUAUCACCCAAAUGUCAUAACUUUUACUACACUCAUCAAUGGGUUAUGUCAAGUUGGAGAAAUGAACAAAGCUAAGGAUAUACUCAACACUAUGGCUAAGAAUGGAGUGCCUCCUGAGGCUUGGAGCUACAAUGUCUUGAUUAAUGGAUUUUGUAAGCUUAAAAUGGUAGAUGAAGCCGUCAAUCUCUUCAAUGAAAUGCAUCAUAGAAAAAUUAUUCCUGAUGUGGUGACUUACACUUCACUUAUUGAUGGUUUGUGCAAAUCAGGAAGAAUCGAAUAUGCUUUGGAGCUUGUCGAUGAAAUGCGUUGUAGAAACAUUAUUCCUGAUGUGGUGACUUACACUUCACUUAUUGAUGGUUUGUGCAAAUCAGGAAGAAUCGAAUAUGCAUUGGAGCUUCUCGAUGAAAUGCGUUGUAAAAAAAUUAUUCCUGAUGUGGUGACUUACAAUUCACUUAUUGAUGGUUUGUGCAAAUCAGGAAGAAUCGAAUAUGCUUUGGAGCUUGUCGAUGAAAUGCGUUGUAGAAAAAUUAUUCCUAAUGUGGUGACUUACAAUUCACUUAUUGAUGGUUUGUGCAAGUUGGGAAGAGUCGAAUAUGCUUUGGAGCUUGUCGAUGAAAUGCGUUGUAGAAAAAUUAUUCCUGAUGUGGUGACUUACAGUUCACUUAUUGAUGGUUUGUGCAAGUUGGGAAGAGUGGAAUAUGCUUUGGAGCUUGUCGAUGAAAUGCGUUGUAGAAAAAUUAUUCCUAAUGUGGUGACUUACAAUUCACUUAUUGAUGGUUUGUGCAAAUCAGGAACAAUCGAAUAUGCAUUGGAGCUUCUCGAUGAAAUGCAUUGUAGAAAAAUUAUUCCUAAUGUGGUGACUUACACUUCACUUAUUGAUGGUUUGUGCAAAUCAGGAAGAAUCGAAUAUGCUUUGGAGCUUGUCGAUGAAAUGCGUUGUAGAAACAUUAUUCCUGAUGUGGUGACUUACACUUCACUUAUUGAUGGUUUGUGUAAAUCGGGAAGCAUCGAAUAUGCUUUGGAGCUUGUCGAUGAAAUGCGUUGUAGAAACAUUAUUCCUGAUGUGGUAACCUACAGUUCACUUAUUGAUGGUUUGUGCAAGUUGGGAAGAGUGGAAUAUGCUUUGGAGCUUGUCGAUGAAAUGCGUUGUAGAAAAAUUAUUCCUAAUGUGGUGACUUACAAUUCACUUAUUAAUGGUUUGUGCAAGUUGGGAAGAGUCGAAAAUGCUUUGGAGCUUGUCGAUGAAAUGCGCAGUAGAAAAAUUAUUCCUAAUGUGGUGACUUACAAUUCACUUAUUGAUGGUUUGUGCAAAUCAAGAAGAAUCGAAUAUGCAUUGGAGCUUCUCGAUGAAAUGCAUUGUAGAAAAAUUAUUCCUAAUGUGGUGACUUACACUUCACUUAUUGAUGGUUUGUGCAAAUCAGGAAGAAUCGAAUAUGCUUUGGAGCUUGUCGAUGAAAUGCGUUGUAGAAACAUUAUUCCUGAUGUGGUGACCUACAGUUCACUUAUUGAUGGUUUGUGUAAAUCGGGAAGCAUUGAAUAUGCAUUGGAGCUUGUCGAUGAAAUGCCUGAUAGAGGUCAACCACCUAAUUUGUUAACUUACAAUUCUAUAUUGGAUGCUUUGUUCAAAAACCAUCAUGUUGACGAGGCAAUUGCAUUAUUAACCAAAAUUAUAGAGAAGGGUAUUCAGCCAAACAUGCAUACGUACACUAUUCUUAUACAUGGAUUGUGUAUAAAUGGGAGACCGGAGGAUGCAAGAAAGGUUUUUGAAGAUCUUUUGGUCAAAGGCUACAAUCUACAUGUCUAUACAUAUGAUGCUAUGAUCAGGGGAUUUUGCAACAAGGGCUUGUUUGACGAAGCAUUUACCAUGCUAUCAAAAAUGGAACCCAAUCGUUGUAUUCCGGAUGAUAAAACUUAUGAAACAAUUAUUCUUUCCCUCUUUGAAAAAGGUGAAAAUGAUAAAGCAAAUAAACUUCGUCAGGAAAUGAUUGAGAGAGGUCUAUUAUAUAAUCAAAACUAGGGAAAAGUUUGUUACGUAGUUGGGUAUGGAUAUUUUCUCUGGUCGUUGAUGUUCUUUUAUGAUAAGAAGGGAUAAAUACAUACUCGCGCUGUAUAUUUUUACAGGAUUGGUAGUGCAUCUUAUUCAUGCUCCUCGAUGAAAAUCAAUCUUUGAAAAUGGUGUAACAAACUUGUUGAGAAAAGCACAAAACAUUUGUCUCACUUUGAUUUUCAAUUUUUUUUAUGAUCAGUUUUCUUUUGCUGCUAGAUUGUCUGUUGAGAGUUGGAUCUGUUGCAAGCUUCAAAUGUUAAACCGGCCAUGUUCUCCGAUUCCAAUUUUCUUGUUCAGAAGAUAAUAAACAACAUGUCAAGCUCUUCAAUAUUUGCCAUAGUAAAAUGGAGGAAGUUGUUCAAAGGAAUGCCUCUGUUAGUGAUAUCUUUGGCAUUCUUCGUUGAAUAGAUUUCUGGAACAAAAAGCUGUAAUUUCAACUUGGUUUCAAUUACAUGAAUCAUGUAAAGAGUGAAGCAUUUUGUAUGAGUGGUUUUUUUUUUUGGAUUACCACUUAACUUUUCUUGUAUUUUUUCUACCUUGUUCUUGUGCACACCUUGUGCCAAUGUCGAGGUAAUUUAAUAUAUUAAUUGUAUGUUGAUCAUGAA